UGUUUUGUUCCUUCAGUUUUCCUUUGUUCUUAUACUCCACAUAUGAGUGAAAUCAUUUGAUACUUGUCUUUCUCCGCCUGGCUUAUUUCACUGAGUGUAAUACCCUCUAGCUCCAUCCAUGUUGCAAAUGGUAGGAUUUGUUUUCUUCUUAUGGCUGAAUAAUAUUCCAUUAUGUAUAUGUACCACAUCUUCUUUAUCCAUUCAUCUACUGAUGGACACUUAGGUUGCUUCCAAUUCUUGGCUAUUGUAAAUAGUGCUGCGAUAAACAUAGGGGUGCAUCUGUCUUUUUCAAACUGGGCUCCUACAUUUUUAGGCUAAAUUUCUAGGAGUGGAAUUCCUGGGUCAAAUGGUAUUUCUAUUUUUAGUUUUUUGAGGAACCUUCAUACUGCUUUCCACAAUGGUUGAACAGGUUUACAUUCUCACCAGCAGUGUAGGAGGGUUCUAGGGGAGCUUUUUUUUUACUCAACAAAUCAAGUGUUUUGGCUUGGGACAGUAAAAAUCAAACUUUUAACUUGCAUACAAUUCUUAUUGACCCCAUUUUAUCCUAAAAUUAAUUUAAAAUGUCACUUUUGUCCAAAGUGCUGUCAUACAGUCUUGUUACAGUUAAGCUUUAAGAUCCCAGUUGAGAGAGACUCUUCUAAUGCAAUUUUUUCCCCUAUAUGACAGGAUCAGUUUGAUGGAGACCGCUAUUCUUCAGCAUCAGAAAAUGUCAAAAGUCCAAAUUCCUCUCUUUGUGUAUCAACUUUUUAGAAUUUCACAAAAUUUAAAAUGCAUAUUUUGAGUAUCAUUGAAUGGAUGAAUGUGGGUAAUAGCUUGCUAUAAUUAUUAGUGUUAUAAUCCAGUGUAAAGUUGAUCACUUCUUUGUGAGACCACUUCUUUAGUCAACUUUAGUGAUUGAAUAUUGAAUUCAAGUCAUAAAAUAAACCACCCUUUUUGAACUACCUAUUGGCCACUGGGAAUUGGCUGAUCUGGAGAUUACCUUCCUAGGUUUCAAUAUAGUUAAUCCUUCGUGAAUUGUUGGUCACAUUUUUGAAUAGUUUAGAAGUCUUAAUUAAAAUAUUUAGUAUUCUUGUAUUGUUUCAUUAAGAACUAAGUAAUCCAGUGUCCACUUCGGUCUAUGAUUCCAUUUAUUUUUCUUGUCCACCUUAACUUUACCAAAGGCAAUAUAUAUGGAAUUAAUACAUUUACAGUACCACCUUAAGAAUGCUAAUGACUUUAGGAAAAAGUUUCAUGUACAACAGAAUGCUAGUUAAAGUUGGAAAUAUAUAUAAAAGGUAGGUUUUUGUUGACUUACAUAGCAUGCCUUAUUUGAAAUAAUGCCCAGGAUCACUGAAGUACAUUAGAGAGGUCUAUGAAUUCUCUUGUUACAUGCAGAAUUUUAUAUACAUAUUUUUGCAUGAGUAAUAUCCAGGGGGAGAUUUGUAUUUCAUUCAAUUCUUAGGUGAAUUUAAGACACAAGUGGUUUGGAGAACAAUACCAAUUUAGGGCAGUUAAUUACACUAUUUUUGGAUCAUGUACCCCUCAGCAUUUAAAAAAAUUGAGCACAAAUGUGUAUUUAUUUGUAAAUUAUAAUUGUCCUACUGUACUAAUAUUUCAGGUGUGUCAUAAAAACAUUUUUAUAAAUAUGAGAACAAUAAACAUAAACCUGUGUCCCACUGAAAAAUCUGGGUUGCAUGUACUCCCUCUGGAGAGCAUUGGACCAGUAGGUAGUAACAUAUUUGUGUGCUCUGCCUUGGUACAAGUAGGAUAAAAUUUUGUAGAUAAGUAGAAAUGAUCCUAUGUAGCAUUUUGGAUUACAAGGCUUCAAGCUGUGGGUUGCUGAGGGCCAAUAAACCAUAUAAAUGGGCCUACCUAUAUAACAAAGGAAGAAUUUGGCAAAAUAGACACUCAAUAUUUUUAAAUCAUAGUAGACAUUAAGAUUUAGUGUUUAGGGUUUAAUGGUAUUCAAUGUUAAAAUACAAAAAAACUGAGUUGAAUUUUAAGUCAGUUGAUGUCCUUUGAGGAAAUAAAGAUUUUUCAUGAAUGGAAAUAAACGAGAUCAAGGCUUGAAAUAGCAUCUGAAUGGAAGCCGGGUUCUGUUAAGAACUUCAAUGGGUUAACACUUCUGUAUUUUUAUUUAUUAUUGAAACUGGCUUUUAAAAGUCUUAAAUCUGAUUUUACUGCAUUCCUAGGAGUAUAAAAGAAAACAUGGAUGAAGCUCCCUGAAACUUGGCUUCGAGCACAAAUUGAAGUUUGUAGACUAGGAAGUGCUGGUCUGUUCCCUCAGGCCGACAUCAUUCUGUGGGAGAAAUGUUUUUAAUUACAGGGGAGAAACAAACAAGAAAACAGCUAUCUAGUUCAUAUUUCUUCAAAUGAUAACAAAGCUCCAAACACUUUCCACUGUAUUUACUGAAAACAUGUGUGUAGUAAGUGGACCAGCGCAGCGCUCAGCUGUUCUCCAGGCAGCGGCAUCUGCGAGGAUUUAGCUGCCUCGUCAGACCCAGCAAGGAACAACUCUCUCAAGUGGAAGGAGUGGCCAGACGGUUCAAGAGACAGAACUUCCAUCCUUAAGAAACUGGAGCUUUCCGCGUUUGCAUACUCUCAAGGACAAGUGUGAUUUCAACUGAUGAGAGAAGCUAUGGUUUAGAGCAAAACAACUGUAUUAAACUGUGAGGCUCUAAGGUAUUAUCCUAUAGACACAACUGUUUCCAGAAUUUACUGGCGUAUCUGGCACAGAACUCGUAGAAGCUGAUAUACACAACUUUUAGGUAAUGUUACCCCAAGUUAACUCAAACCUUAACGUUGUUUCCCUGACCCUGCUUCAUUAAAGUAACUUGCCCAUUUCCCCAAUAAAUACUGUUAAAAGACUUUAUCCUAUUUCUUAGCCUAAACAACCUAAGGGAACUAUUUCAGGUUUUCUACUUGGUUUCUAUCCUAGAUAGCCUUGCCUCCCUUCAUAUUAGUGUAUCUAACGUGUUCUUGUAAAGUUGUUGCCAUCUUAGGCAUAAUUUUGAGAUAAGAGAAAUUUUCUUAAAAAAAAAACCCAUUUCUCUUAUGUAUAUGGGAUCAAGGUAUUACUGUUCCCCUUAACAUCCCUGGUCCAUAUAUGCACUGUUGCUAAUUCAAAUCUCGUAACUUUUUUCUAGAAAGCUAUUGUUUGUUAGUACAUGAUUCAAGAUGAUAACCAAAAAAAGUUAAAAUCCUAGCUAUCAUUUAGGUGCCUCUUUAGUAUCCACCUUGAGGUCCUGAUACUUGAGAUGAUAGAAAGGAAAUAUAGACCACUGCUGUUUGGUGGAAAACACUGUAGGAAAAGGCAACUUUAGUAUGUGAACAUGGUUCUCUGAACAAUGUCAGUAUCAGUACACCAUACGUGGUCUAAUAUGGGACACUGUGAAAAUUUCUCAUUAAAAUUAUAACCAGCCAUAAAACCCGUCAGGAACUGAACAGCCUUACACAUUCCCACAGUCUAGACUCAGCUUCAUUUAUCACUCUGUUAGAUAUUUCUUGAACCGUGUUGUCAGACCAGUGGGAACUCCACAGAAGCAACGACUUCACAAGACUGUGUGCUGAAGCUGGGCCGGCCUUUAAAGGGAACAGAAUCUGGUUUUUCAAAAUUACCUGAUGGAAUCUAAAAAAAAAAAGGCUAAAAGUUUACCACAUUCCCUUUCGGGCCUCACCUCAUUAUGUCUUGAUAUAUACAUUUUUUGCUGUAUCUUAGAUUCUGAUUAUCUUUAUUUACAAACAAUAAACUGCAAAUAAUACAGUC